UACGUAGGGUGCAAGCGUUAUUCGGAAUUACUGGGCGUAAAGCGUGCGCAGGCGGUUUUGUAAGUCUGUCGUGAAAGCCCCGGGCUCAACCUGGGAAUUGCGAUGGAGACUGCAAGGCUUGAAUCUGGCAGAGGGGGGUAGAAUUCCACGUGUAGCAGUGAAAUGCGUAGAGAUGUGGAGGAACACCGAUGGCGAAGGCGGCCCCCUGGGUCAAGACUGACGCUCAUGCACGAAAGCGUGGGGAGCAAACAGG
rnacentral:rRNA from 1 species